UUUGUUGAUACAUAUAUUACAGUUAUCUCUGCUUCAAGGUUAUAAAUCUUGACCUCACUUGCAGUUGCAUGGGUCGCAGGUGCAGCUUGAUCCACAGUUGCAGCCACCGUUCUCAGCUGCAACACCCAUUUCAGCACCCUCCAAUUGGGCCUUCACAGACCCAACACCCAAAACAAGAGUCUCUGUGGUUGUCUUCUCAACAUAGCUCAAGUCAAAAGAGUACUUGUUGCAACUGAAACACAAGAAAAAUCAACAAACGUAAGGUUCGUGAAAACAUGUGGGAAAACAAAAAAGGUAUCCAAGAAAUAUAUAUAAAAAAAAACUGAAAGUAGCAAUUUUGUUUUUUGAACAAUUUUAUGAAGAACAUUCCAAAGAAAAAGUAAUCAAAAUAACAAAGAGAAUAGUUCUACCCUCUUAAUUACUGAUGUUGAAAAAAGAAUAAAGCCUCGAAUUUCAUAAAUUUCAACCAAAAUAGGCACCCACAAAGCGAAUCAAACUACGUACCCAAAAAAUAUAGGAAAAUUGUAUAUCCCUAGAAACCCAUGUAUCUAGGUAGGAAGACAAAAGCAUCUUUUUUUUUGGUCGGCGGAAAACAAAGCAUCUAAUUUCAUAAAAUAAAGGAUACUAAAAAAUCCAAUCAAAAUAGUCAUAGCAAAUCCUAUCCCUUAGAAACUUGUGCAAUAAGAAAAAUUAAUAAGAUUCACACGAAAAUCCCAUUAACAGAUUUGAAAGUCAUGUUAAAAUUAAUUUCCAAUACUAAUCAAUAGUUUUAAAGGUUAAUCAAGCAAGCAUAUUAGAAAAGAAG
rnacentral:lncRNA from 1 species